GAGGGUAUAGCUCAGUGGCAGAGCACAGGCCUAGCAUGUAUGAGGUCCUGGGUUCAAUCCCCAGCAUCUCCA
rnacentral:tRNA from 1 species